GGGAAAGUCAAGCUGAAGAAAACUCGUCCCUCUCAGCACAGACAGAGUAAAAAGGACCAGGACGAAGAUAAUGCAUCUGAUACUGGCUCAGACUGGUCUGGAGGAGAUGUUACAACCAAAAAGGUCAAGGACAAGAGUAAUGGAAAGGCAAAUCAAAGGACACCCC